rnacentral:rRNA from 1 species
GCGUGAGUGAUGANGGCNUUAGGGUUGUAAAGCUCUUUCGCCAGGGNNGAUAANNNCGGUACCUGGAUAAGAAGCCCCGGCUAACUUCGUGCCAGCAGNCGCGGUAAUACGAAGGGGGCUAGCGUUGUUCGGAAUUACUGGGCGUAAAGCGCACGUAGGCGGCUUUCCAAGUUGGAGGUGAAAUCCCCGGGCUUAACCCGGGNNCNGCCGCCAAAACUGAAAAGCUAGAGUCCGAGAGAGGUGAGUGGAAUUUCCAGUGUAGAGGUGAAAUUCGUAGAUAUUGGAAAGAACACCAGUGGCGAAGGCGGCUCACUGGCUCGGUACUGACGCUGAGGUGCGACAGCGUGGG